AAGAUGGCGGACGAGCAGCUGCAGCAGCUCCGUGCGGUGCUACAGGGGGAGGGGAAGGUGGUUUCUCCUGACACAAGCUGGAGGCCGGAGCCUGUGGCACCCUGGCUUGCCUCACUGAAGCUGGUGGCUGUGACAGGGACUGCACGGCUGCUGGAGUGGUAGAAAGGCAGCCCAGGAAGCCAUCAUUCUGUAGAAGGCAGUGACGGAACAGUACCAGCAGAAAUUGAAGGACCAGCAGAAGGGAUCAUGGCCAAAGUUGCAGUGUCCCCCCGCUCGUUGAAGAUGAGGAGUUCUCAGAGAGCGGGAUGUUUGUGACAUUCCUCAUGUCAGCUCUCGAGUCCAUGUUUCUUUAUUUGUAGGCAUAGCUGCAUAAAGAAACCAGUUGGCCCACCAGCACCAGGGCUUCUCCACCCCUGACCACAUACCAGGAGAUAAGAUCCCCAACCAGCACAAACUCGAACAG
rnacentral:lncRNA from 1 species